UACGAUGAAGAGUUUGAUCCUGGCUCAGGAUGAACGCUAGCGGCAGGCCUAACACAUGCAAGUCGAACGGUAACAUAGGAAAGCUUGCUUUUCUGAUGACGAGUGGCGCACGGGUGCGUAACGCGUAUGCAAUCUACCUUGUACUGGAGUAUAGCCCAGGGAAACUUGGAUUAAUCCUCCAUAGUCUAUAUUAAUGGCAUCAUUUUAUAUAGUAAAGGUUACGGUACAAGAUGAGCAUGCGUCCUAUUAGCUAGUAGGUGUGGUAACGGCACACCUAGGCAACGAUAGGUAGGGGUCCUGAGAGGGAGAUCCCCCACACUGGUACUGAGACACGGACCAGACUCCUACGGGAGGCAGCAGUGAGGAAUAUUGGACAAUGG
rnacentral:rRNA from 1 species